rnacentral:rRNA from 1 species
UUUAAAGUCUAAUCUGCCCCAUGAGGAUUUAAAUGGCCGCGGUACUUUGACCGUGCAAAGGUAGCAUAAUAAUUAGUUUUUUAAUUGAAAGCUGGAAUGAACGAUUGGACGAGAAAAUAACUGUCUCUAUUUAAUUUAUAUUUGAAUUUUAUUUUUAAGUAAAAAAGCUUAGAUUUUAUUAAAAGACGAGAAGACCCUAUAGAGUUUUAUAUUUAAUUUAAUUUUAGUUUUUUAGUGUUGAUUUUAUUAGUAUUAAAAUAAAUAUUUUAUUGGGGUGAUAGAAAAAUAUUAUUAACUUUUUUUAUGUAUUAUACCAUUAAUUUAUGAUUUAAUGAUCCAUUGCUUAUGAUUAAAAGAAUAAGUUACCUUAGGGAUAACAGCGUAAUUUUUUUUUAGAGUUCUUAUCGAAAGGAAAGAUUGCGACCUCGAUGUUGGAUUAAAAUUAAUGUUUGGUGUAGGGGCUAAAUAAUUAGGUCUGUUCGACCUUUAAAAUUUUACA